rnacentral:rRNA from 1 species
CCUGCCCAAGCAUCAAGGGAAGCGAAAGUAAAAUGUCGUGGAGGUCCGAACGCACGAGCGUGAAAAGCUCGGGGAUGACUUGUGGGUAGCGGUGAAAUUCCAAUCGGGCCCGGAGAUAGCUGGUUCUCCCCGAAAUAGCUUUAGGGCUAGCCGCAAGGUGAGAGAUACGGAGGUAGAGCACUGAAUGUCCUAGGGGGUAUUGCACCUACCGAAGACUAUCAAACUCCGAAGGCCGUCAUCUUAUACUUGGGAGUCAGACUGUGGGUGAUAAGAUUCAUAGUCGAAAGGGCAACAGCCCAGAGCGUCAGCUAAGUUCCCUAAAUGUAAGUUAAGUGGUAAAGGA